rnacentral:rRNA from 1 species
UGGGGAAUAUUGCACAAUGGAGGGAACUCUGAUGCAGCGACGCCGCGUGAGUGAUGAAGGAAUUCGUUUCGUAAAACUCUGUUCUAUGGGAAGAAAAGGACUGUACCAUAGGAGAAAGCUCCGGCUAAAUACGUGCCAGCAGCCGCGGUAAUACGUAUGGAGCGAGCGUUGUCCGGAAUUAUUGGGCGUAAAGGGUGCGCAGGCGGCUUUACAAGUUGGAUGUGAAAUAUUGUGGCUCAACCACAAACGUGCAUCCAAAACUGCAAAGCUUGAGUUAAGGAGAGGUAAGUAGAAUUCCUGGUGUAGCGGUGGAAUGCGUAGAUAUCAGGAGGAAUACCGGUGGCGAAGGCGACUUACUGGACUUAAACUGACGCUCAGGCACGAAAGCGUGGGGAGCAAACAGG